ensembl:rRNA 5S_rRNA 5S ribosomal RNA
GCUUACGGCCAUACCAGCCCAAGAACGCCCGGUCUCAUCUGAUCUCGGAAGCUAAGAAGGCUUGGGCCUGGUUAGUACUUGGAUGGGAGGCCUCCUGGAAAUACCAGGUGCUGUAAGCU